UUGCUCGGAAUCACUGGGCGUAAAGCGCACGUAGGCGGAUCUUUAAGUCAGGGGUGAAAUCCUGGAGCUCAACUCCAGAACUGCCUUUGAUACUGGGGAUCUCGAGUCCGGGAGAGGUGAGUGGAACUGCGAGUGUAGAGGUGAAAUUCGUAGAUAUUCGCAAGAACACCAGUGGCGAAGGCGGCUCACUGGCCCGGUACUGACGCUGAGGUGCGAAAGCGUGGGGAGCAAACAGG
rnacentral:rRNA from 1 species